rnacentral:misc_RNA from 1 species
GGUCUGUAUGGAAUCCGCACACCCAACACACCCACGCAAACUGCCGUUCUCAGAAGGUGAGGGUGGCUUCUGUGUCUGUGUCUCACACGUUAGUCUCCUUUCUCGCAGCUCUCAUAACAAAGACACUGGCAGUGGGCGUAUGCGGUCGUCGCUGCUAUCUGCGCUGCUCCCAAGGCAGGCAGCAAGGUGCUGCCUCGCAGACCGCACCGUGUGUCGGUUGCACUUUGGAGGGGCAGCAUCAGUGCGGUGGGGCACUACGAGAGGAGCGGAAACACCUCUCCCAAGUUCCACUGCGCAGACUGCGAGCCCUCGGGACAACGCCACGAACAGCCAGGGAAGCUCCAGUAACAUUGCAGGUGAGCCCCGUCGCUCCUCUUCGUCUCAGGAAAGUCGCAGAGAGCGCCGCGGAGGCUCACGUCGCCGUCUCCGGAGGGAACGGCGCCCGCCACGGCGUAUCACGACUCGCUCCUCUCCGUCGUCGCCACAGCCAGCGACCCUUCCCGAUGUCGAUGCAGCGCCUCUGCCGCACUCGCUCGACAUUAGCGCGGCAGAGGACAUAGCCGACGUGGAGAAGUACUUUCCUCGUGCAAUGGCGCACCUCAAAGCCGUCCCAGCAUCCGCAGAGGCCGCCGAGGAGAGUCGUGCUCGCCGCUGGCACGACACAACGCAUGAGGUGAACGCCGAUGGCAUUGUGACGCCGGGAAAGCGUGCUGAGAGGGAGCGGCGGGAGAGCGGACUCGGGUCGUUUUUCGACGAGGGUAGCCUUGACGUACGCGGCGGCAUGUCGGACAAGCUGAGGAGCGGCGCAUACGGCAGCGCCCGCGACGCGGCGGAGCGCGACUCCCCAGACAUCCUCAAGCUCACCGGUGGAAAUGCGCGCCGACACGGCGGGCUUCACCUGGCAACGGAGAGCAACGCGGCACCGGCCGACCAAACGAUUGAGGGCGACCGCGGCGAUGCUGGGGCGUAUCGAGAGUUUGGGGACACCCCUGUGCAGCUGACUGACAUGCUGCGAGAGCGGCUGAUGGAGCUCAGGGCGAGAAAGCUGCGAGAGGAGCGCAGCGAGACGUUUCUGCCGCAGCGGCUUCGCCACCGCCCCGCCGGGGAGCUUCUCAUGCUGGCUCAGCAAGGCGAAGCCGCGGGGGUGGAGGCUGGCGGUCGAGUUGCAACGUUGCAACCAACGCCGGCCGCCUUGCAGCGCAAAAUUGCACAGCUGCGCAGCGGCGCUGCCGCCACUACCUUGGCUGAUCUGGUGCCGAAGGAAGAAGAGGAGGAAGAGAAGGCAACGCUGCUGGGCGACGCGGCGCGGGACGAUGCACGACGUGGGACCUGCGACAGGGCCAUUCUGCAAGACGGGGUGGCACCUGCCCGGGUUGCCAAUGCAAUGCAGGCCGUGAGCGGCACCGACGACUCCGUGCCGGGCGCCUCCCCGCACGAUCCACUGCGUCGCUUGGUUGCCAUCGCCGCCAACACCGGACGUCGCGCCUCAGUUUUCGGGACGGGGGACGGUGCGAGCGUCUCGGCCGAAGGGGUUGAGCGGGCUGGAUUCGUGCACCUCCUGCGCACCUUACCUCGAGCCGGCUUCUGCAGUCGACGCGAGGCGGCCGCCAUCAUCGCGAGUGGGCAGGUGCGUGUUAACAACGUGACGGAACGCAACCCAUUCCGUCUAGUGCAGGCACAGGACGACGUGCACGUUGCCGGGCACCAGUCCCGCUUGCGCUUUGCGCCGCCGCGGCUGUGGAUAUACCAUAAGCCAGCCCACGUAAUCGUCUCCCGCAACGAUGCAGCGGGGCGCACUCUCAUCACCAAGCAUGCGCGCAUCCUCGGUAUGGACCACCUGGUCCCGGUCGGCUCGCUGCCCAUGCGGGCUCACGGCAUCCUCCUCCUCACGAACGACGGUGAGCUUUCGCGCUUCUUGGAGAACCCCAAGUCGAUGGUGCAGAGGACCUACCUGCUGCGCGUCCGGCCAGCCUUUGACCCUGUCCUUGUGCACAAGCUCAACACAGAGGGUAUUCACAUCAACGGGCGCCUCUAUCGCAACGCAGAGUUCUUCGUCAACCCUGCCACCAAGUCGCGCUACUCGGUCAAGGUCAAGGUGCGUGGCGAAUCGAUGCCCAUCGCGCACCUGAUGCAGCAUCUCGGCCGCACGGUGGAGCGUGGCGGACGCAUCUCGUUCGGGCCCUUUGCCCUGUCCAACCUCGCCGUCGGCUCCGUUCGCGAGGUGACCAUCCCGCCGUUCUACUCGCAGCACCUCGGCGCCGUUUGGCAGCCGUUCGUUGAGCGCGAUUGGCCAUACUUUCGCCGCCAGCGAGUUUCGCGGCUUCGCAGACUGUGCCAGCACCGAGAGCUCACGCCAAAGGAACUUGAGGAGCUCGACAACUACACCUACGAAGAGGUCAAAGAUGCGCUGAACUUCGAGUCGAGCGAAUUGCAGACACUGGCGGAGCAGCGGGCACAACUGCUGCGACGUGCGAGGCACCUGCGUGAUGAUAUGCUUCCGCUUCCAGGCGACUUCCCCAAAGAAUCGUGCCGCAGGAGUGUGGGGGAUGUGACCGUCGAUGGCGCAGCCGCACCCUUUGCAGACGCGGAUGAGGAAGAGGACGAGGACGCUAUUGUCGAGGAUAUCACUUCCUUUCGCUGAGGUGUGCGGGGCUUUGCCGGUGGUGGCCUUCACAUCUGUUUUUUUUUUUGUGGGGGGGUUGAUGUGACUGGGCGUUGUCUGCUGCGCGCGCCGCGCCGGCCGUCACACCGUUAAGCAUAGUCACUUUGCCUGUGCGUGUGGCGUAGCCCGUCGCACCCGGCUUCCUUGUCUGCAGGGACUACGUGUCAACCAGGAGAGGGAGUACGAUCUGUAAUGGCAACUGCGCAAACUUCCAUUGUGACAUCUCUCGUGUGUGCUCGCUGUCAGAAAGCAUGGUCGUCGGAUAACCAGCUGCACAGACAAGCAGGGAAGAAAAUCAUGACUAGGGAAAAGGGGACUGCUGCCUCUGUGCCACUCUUGUCAAGUGCAGCAACCCUCUCUCUCUCAUCUCGUCUUCAGUGUAAUCCUCCUCCAAAACGCCUCUUUCUGCCGAGUUUCUGUUGAACUCAACUCUCUGGGAGCGUAGCGGUGUGCACAUGCGUGCUCUCUCUCUCUCUCUCUGCCAUCCAUUGCCCUCUCUCUCCCCCACUCCUUUUUUUCUUGCUUGCGUGUGUGCGUGUUUGAAUGUGUGGUGCGCGCCUAUUGUUUUCCUUUUUUUUGCGUUGCGGGGCGUCGUCCUCGUUUGUUUGCUGGACAUCGACGACAUUGGUUGCCGUUUUGCUGUUCUCCGCGUCACUCCUCACCGCACUUUCUUCCCCCCUCCUCCGUUCACUGCUUGUGUGUUGCACGUCGGCACUUGACCGAACCGCACACGUCAG